ACAUGCAAGUCGAACGGGGUACCCCCAAAAGGAGUUUUCGGACAACUGCGGGGAAUACCUAGUGGCGGACGGGUGAGUAACGCUUGAGUAACCUGCCUUGGAGUGGGGAAUAACAGCUGGAAACAGCUGCUAAUUCCGCAUAAUGCAGUUGGGUCGCAUGCGUCUGACUGCCAAAGAUUUAUCGCUCUGAGAUGGACUCGCGUCUGAUUAGCUAGUUGGUGGGGCAACGGCCCACCAAGGCGACGAUCAGUAGCCGGACUGAGAGGUUGGCCGGCCACAUUGGGACUGAGACACGGCCCAGACUCCUACGGGAGGCAGCAGUGGGGAAUAUUGGGCAAUGGGCGCAAGCCUGACCCAGCAACGCCGCGUGAAGGAAGAAGGCUUUCGGGUUGUAAACUUCUUUUCUCAGGGACGAAGCAAGUGACGGUACCUGAGGAAUAAGCCACGGCUAACUACGUGCCAGCAGCCGCGGUAAUACGUAGGUGGCAAGCGUUAUCCGGAUUUACUGGGUGUAAAGGGCGUGUAGGCGGGAAAGCAAGUCAGAUGUGAAAACCAUGGGCUCAACCUGUGGCCUGCAUUUGAAACUGUUUUUCUUGAGUACUGGAGAGGCAGACGGAAUUCCUAGUGUAGCGGUGAAAUGCGUAGAUAUUAGGAGGAACACCAGUGGCGAAGGCGGUCUGCUGGACAGCAACUGACGCUGAGGCGCGAAAGCGUGGGGAGCAAACAGGAUUAGAUACCCUGGUAGUCCACGCUGUAAACGAUGGAUACUAGGUGUGGGGGGACUGACCCCCUCCGUGCCGCAGUUAACACAAUAAGUAUCCCACCUGGGGAGUACGAUCGCAAGGUUGAAACUCAAAGGAAUUGACGGGGGCCCGCACAAGCGGUGGAGUAUGUGGUUUAAUUCGAAGCAACGCGAAGAACCUUACCAGGGCUUGACAUCCCGGUGACCGCUCUAGAGAUAGAGUUUUCCCUUCGGGGACACUGGUGACAGGUGGUGCAUGGUUGUCGUCAGCUCGUGUCGUGAGAUGUUGGGUUAAGUCCCGCAACGAGCGCAACCCUUAUUGUUAGUUGCUACGCAAGAGCACUCUAGCGAGACUGCCGUUGACAAAACGGAGGAAGGUGGGGACGACGUCAAAUCAUCAUGCCCCUUAUGUCCUGGGCCACACACGUACUACAAUGGUGGUUAACAGAGGGAAGCAAUACCGCGAGGUGGAGCAAAUCCCUAAAAGCCAUCCCAGUUCGGAUCGCAGGCUGCAACCCGCCUGCGUGAAGUUGGAAUCGCUAGUAAUCGCGGAUCAGCAUGCCGCGGUGGAUACGUUCCCGGGUCUUGUACUCACCGCCCGUCA
rnacentral:rRNA from 1 species